GAUACUUAUAACAAGAGAGGUCGCGUACCAGAGAAUACGAUUGUAACGCAGCGAAUUAAACGGCAAGGAGACGAAUGGCAUGAAACAUUUUGUGAAUGCGAUGCAAAUAGCAAUAAAAAAAGAGAACUGAAAAAAGAUAUGAAAAAAACGAGUAACAAAAGUAGACGAAAGGGUAAAAGUAUCAUAUCAUCAAAAAGAAAAUUCAAACGUAACAGACCAUCUAAUUUGAAAGAGUAUAUUAUAAUGUGCCUACAACGAAAACGUGUACGUUGUAAGAAGCAGUUGAAGAAAAAAGAAAAAGAAUUUAAGAAAAAUGAAAAAAAGG
rnacentral:misc_RNA from 1 species